rnacentral:rRNA from 1 species
UACGUAGGUGGCAAGCGUUGUCCGGAUUUAUUGGGUUUAAAGGGUGCGUAGGCGGUCUAUUAAGUCAGUGGUGAAAUACGGCCGCUCAACGGUUGAGGUGCCAUUGAUACUGAAGAGCUUGAAACAAGUGGAGGCUGCCGGAAUGGAUGGUGUAGCGGUGAAAUGCAUAGAUAUCAUCCAGAACACCGAUUGCGAAGGCAGGUGGCUACGUUUGAUUUGACACUGAGGCACGAAAGCAUGGGGAGCAAACAGG